UGAGGAAUAUUGCGCAAUGGAGGCAACUCUGACGCAGCCAUGCCGCGUGCAGGAAGAAGGCGCUACGCGUUGUAAACUGCUUUUAUCCGGGAAGAAACCCCAGGACGUGUCCUGGGUUGACGGUACCGGAGGAAUAAGCACCGGCUAACUUCGUGCCAGCAGCCGCGGUAAUACGAAGGGUGCAAGCGUUAUCCGGAUUCAUUGGGUUUAAAGGGUGCGUAGGCGGGGUGGUAAGUCAGUGGUGAAAGCC
rnacentral:rRNA from 1 species